rnacentral:rRNA from 1 species
AACGAACGCUGGCGGCAGGCUUAACACAUGCAAGUCGAACGAGAUCUUCGGAUCUAGUGGCGCACGGGUGAGUAACGCGUGGGAAUCUACCUUGGAGUCUGGGAUAACAGUUGGAAACGACUGCUAAUACCGGAUACGCCCUUAGGGGGAAAGGUUUACUGCUCCGAGAUGAGCCCGCGUCCAAUUAGGUAGUUGGUGAGGUAAAGGCUCACCAAGCCGACGAUUGGUAGCUGGUCUGAGAGGAUGACCAGCCACACUGGGACUGAGACACGGCCCAGACUCCUACGGGAGGCAGCAGUGGGGAAGU